rnacentral:misc_RNA from 1 species
GAUGAAGAACGCAGUGAAAUGCGAUAAGUAGUGUGAAUUGCAGAAUUCAGUGAAUCAUCGAAUCUUUGAACGCACAUUGCGCCCAUUGGUAUUCCAAUGGGCAUGCCUGUUCGAGCGUCAUUUGUACCCUCAAGCUUUGCUUGGUGUUGGGCGUUUGUCUUUCGAGACUCGCCUUAAAAAGAUUGGCAGCCGGCAUACUGGUUUCGGAGCGCAGCACAAAUUGCGGUCUGUUCCUGAAUGUUGACGUCCAUGAAGCCCCCAUUAUCACUUUUGACCUCGGAUCAGGUAGGGAUACCCGCUGAACUUAAGCAUAUCAAUAAGCGGAGGA